rnacentral:lncRNA from 1 species
UCGUACCUGUCUGCGUUCUGCUGGAUGGCGCUGCAGGGUGUGCACCUGUGUCACCUGUGUCCCUGUGUGUCCUUGUGUCCCUGUGUGUCCUGUGUGUCACCUGUGUAUCACCUGUGUGUCCUCAAUGUGUCCCUGUGUGUCCCCAGGUGUCCUGCACAGUGACAGCGGUGGCCCUGCACCUGUCGUACCUGUCGGCGUUCUGCUGGAUGGCGCUGCAGGGCGUUCACCUGUACGUGCUGCUGGUGCAGGUGUUCGCCCCGGCCUGGCUGCGCCCGCGGCCGCUCCUGGCCCUGGGCUACGGCCCCGCCGCGGCCAUCGUGGCUGUGUCAGCGGCGGCGUUCCCGCAGGGAUACGGCACUGAUCAAUAGCCAACGCCGCCAUCCUCGUUGUCACCCUCUGGAAGUUGGUGCAGAAAUUCCACGAGGUCACCCCGGACAUGGGGACCCUGCGCCGGGCACGGGUGCUGUGGGUGACGUCACUGGGCCAGCUCUCCCUGCUGGGCUCUGGUUGGGCGCUGGGCGUGGGGGCGGGGCUGGGCUGGGCGGGGGGGGGGGCCGCCCCUCCCCCGGCAGCGCCCCCCCGCCCCUCCCCCUCCUGUUCUGCGCCGUCAACGCCGCGCAGGGGCUGCUGAUCUUCCUGUGCCACUGCCUGGGGCACCCCAAGGUACCGAAAUCCCCCAAAUUCACCCCAGAAAUGGAACCGCGAUCCUAAAAAACCCCAACGUCCCAAAAAACCCCGAAAAAAUCCCCCAAAAACCCCAAAAAUGGGACCAAAAAUACCC